CCACCGGUUGGAAGCCAUUCUUGCUUGGGUGAUGAUGAUUAACCGUGGUUGAAAUAAAUGUGCCUUUGAGCAAUCGAGAAACCUGUGGGUAUCAAGUUGGAUCCUCCCUCUUGUCUCUAGAAUCCUUUUUGAUCUUGUGAUACUUAUUGUUCUGUCCUUGGAUGGUCAUUCUUAUUGAGUGAUAACCAGGACAACUCCAAUGUAUAAAUAGAUUGAUCUGGUGAUAAGAGAUGACGGGGGUAGGUUAUGUGAUCGAGGAAAGGCAAAUCUGAGCCCACUAUGCAUUGAACCCUGAACCCUUUUUAUUUGUGUUUAAAGGUGUUGCUUAUUUAUUCUCCAGUGUUUAUAGCCAUCUUAUGUAAAUAUUUCUUCUCUUUGAUACCUUUAUUGCGUAUGAGUUGUUUUUUCAUCUUUUAUUGUUUGUUGUUGGUCCUUGAUUUAAUCUGGUUAAGAGUAAGUUGCACUUUGUUAUUAUGGGAUAAACGAUGGUUUGGCAAUGCUAUUGGUUCUUCAUGAGUUCAGAGGAGGAUUUCUGAUAUUAUUUUAUUGUUAAAUAGUCAUGAUAGUAAGAUUCUUGUAUCUGUUCGCCGUGAGGAGCAAUGGGGCAUUGCACGCUUAUGUGUACUGCUACCUGAUUAUGGUUGGUCUUUUGUAUAAAGGCCUUGCUAUAAUUUUUAUAGUCCUUCUUCCCUAAGGUGUAUUAUGAAUGUUUUUCCGAGCUAUGGAAUGUAUUCCUAAUCCUGAUCUAUAGAACUGCCUUUCUGAACUUGAUGUCUAAGUUCUACUGGACAAUGCUUAUUUGGAUAGACGCUCAUGGGUUAAGUUAUUUGAUGCAUUGCUUUCACUAUCAAAUUGUUCGCUACUUUGAGGAUUUGGCUGCAUACUGUAUUGUUUUGUAUUUGGUGGACUGGACCAAGAGCGCACAGAGGGAGAUCUUCUCUGCCGCACUGACAACAGCAAUAGAGAAAAUCCAGUCCACGGUGCCACCAAUGAGAAAGAACAUAGUCAAAUUCUGUGACACACACACAACCAAGACAUACCAUUGGACUGUACAGGAAUAAUGGGAUGCCGUCAUUUGUUACUCGACCUAGCCUUGCUGCUUGAGCAAGUUGCCCCUGGUUUGGUUCCCUGAUGCGCACCGGUGGUGCGCGAUAGAGUGUGCACGGGGGAUUCUUCUUCCACUCUGAUGCCUCCCGCCCUGCCCCUCCGGUGGCAUCAGUUCCUCUUUCAGUUCUGCAUCUCUGCUGGUUGGUCGGCCGGUGCGGCGCAAAUCUGGUUCGACGAGGUCGUUGACGACCUGCUGCGGGAGUGGGACAAUGGGAUCAGCUCCGGGAGGUCCGGGGCACGCUGUUGCCGCUCGUGUAGCAGAAGUCUAACUGCUCCGAGGUGAUGAUUUCCCUGGUUAUUACUCACUCGGUGAUGUUCUGAACCACAAUGGUGUUGUUGCCUCGACAAUGAGUUCCUCAACUUACGUGACUGAUGAGCUGGGGCGUGAAGAUCAUGGCUCUUAUGAUUUGUAUACAGACCUUACUACUGUAUUGUACUGGGGUAGAAUGCCUCUAUGAAGGUGUUUUGACCCUCUAUGAAUGCUUAUUUUUAUGUUGUACAUUAUUUGUAGUCGGA